AAAAUCAUGAAACUAUCUAUGAAGGAAGGCAUGGAAUGGUGGUAACGUGCACAGCCAGCAAUAAACCUGCCCUCUUUCUUUGGAAGGAGAGAAAAUAUGGGGUCAAAUACCUGCUUUGAGGACUCAUGCUACUUGCCUGAGAAAGCUUAUACAGGUUGAGAAGACAAGGAAGGAAAAAAAUGGAGAUGAAAAAGAGAAGAUGUAAAGGGCAGAUAAUCUUUUGUAUCUAUCAUACUGGGCUUUGCUCAUGUUGCAUAAAAGAAGAUCAUCACAAUCUCAGAAGGGGAGGAGAAGUCCUUUUCAGUGCCAGAAUCUCAGAACUGCAUUGCAAAUCUCAUUUCUAUGAAUCACUUCCUCAACCUCAAGGGAAAUAAUAAUUCAAAGAAUAUAA